UACGUAGGGUGCAAGCGUUGUCCGUAAUUAUUGGGCGUAAAGAGCUUGUAGGCGGUUUGUCGCGUCUGCUGUGAAAUUUCGGGGCUCAACCCCGAACUUGCAGUGGGUACGGGCAGACUAGAGUGUGGUAGGGGAGACUGGAAUUCCUGGUGUAGCGGUGAAAUGCGCAGAUAUCAGGAGGAACACCGAUGGCGAAGGCAGGUCUCUGGGCCAUAACUGACACUGAGGCGCGAAAGGGUGGGGAGCGAACAGG
rnacentral:rRNA from 1 species